rnacentral:lncRNA from 1 species
CCAAAGUGUGGGAAGAACAAACAGUAAUUCAAGUUAGGUGUAUUGUUGUCCAGAUGAGUUCGUCAUGUGCUAGAAGGUGAGCUGAACCCAAUCUAGGCCUCAAGUUUCUCAUGUCCUUUACAGUGCAUUGUUAUUUCUGUGAGGUUCACAUGUAAUUUGUUCAACUAUAGUACUCAGUGAAUGAGACAAGGCAUUACUGCAUUUUAUUUCGUGGUGUUCAGCUGCAAGAAUUUAGUUUGUUUCUUUUUUUUGAAGUCAUAGAUUGUUUUGUGCCAGAAACAGGACAAGUAAUGCUCUAUAACCUUGGCAUAAAAAAUGGUCUAAAUUUCAUAUAGAAGGCCGUGGAAUACUUUGCAUGUGUUCAUUCAAAUAUAUGGAGUUGACCUGUACGUGUUGCUUCUAUGCACACUAUGUUCCAUAUGAAUUUGUAGGAGAGAAUCUCUAUAAUGGUAAUUAAGUAUUGUCGAUAUUUACUCUGUUGCUUUAGGAUCGAACAGCUGGACCUGGAAGCCACGAGAGCUGCCCGAGGAAGAGGGCGAAGGCGCGGGGGUGGAAGAGGGUAUGCCUGUGGUCAUCACCUUCCGAGACGACACGACCCGGCGAUUCAGAUUUAUCUUAUUCCUUGCCUCAACAACAUGCUCUGCUUCUUGAGCUUGCAGGUUCUAGCCUUUCUCUUCUCCUCUUGUUGUCUUGCACUCCGAUCAAGCCAUGGUGCAUAUUGCCUCAGAUUUGCUUAUUUGAGUGUGCUUUUAUACAUAAAUCUUGAUUUGUUUGUUUUUCAUAUUUUUAGGGAUAUGAGGAGAGAACUCUAUUGUUGGCAGUGACUGCAUCAUUUCCACAAGUGAUAUGGUUGAUCUUUGCUAUGUGGACGAUGGCAGGAUCUGUACCUAAGUUUGGAGAUUCUGAAUUAGUAAGAAAACGAUGGCAACCAUUUGAUUGUUUUUUUAUUACUUUAGGAAUAUGAGGAGAGAGCUCUAUUGUUGGCAGGGGCUGCAUCAUUAUCUUUGCUAUGUGGACCGAUGGCAUGAUCUGUACCUAAGGUUGAAGAUUCUGAAUUAGGAAAGAAAAAGAUGACAGCCACUUCGUUUUAGUACAUCAGUUUACUGAAUAAUUCUACGCUUUGAACUGCACGAUUACAGUGACAAUAUAACUAAAUAAUGGAAGAAACUUAAGGCUAGACACCACAUAAAUUUUCUUUUUAUUUGAAUUUAUAAUUAGACACUUGAAUUUAGCUUGAUACAUAUCAUAUGAUACCUUAGAAGCCCAUAUUGUAAAAUUUGACCAGUUCCCAUAAGGCCACAACUGUAUCUUAGUGUAGAAUUUACUUUCUCUUU